ensembl:snRNA U2 U2 spliceosomal RNA
CCUUCUCCUUAGCCUUAAAGCUGGGCUCAAGUGAAGUUUCUGUUCUUAUCAGUUUAACACCUGGUAGGCCCCCCACAAGUGGGUUGAGUAGCAAAUUGAGUUUUGGGACAGAGAGCUGGAACACAGGCGUGCCCCAUCCUCUCCAUGCAUUGACCUGGUAUUGCAGAGUCUCCUGGACCAGAAGAAAUAUC